AGAAUCGCUUCAUUGACGUGAGCUUGCCGUGACAUCGCUCAGUGCGGUGAUGCUAUUGGAUCAUAAAAACACAUUCCUCGCAACACAUCUCUGGUGGAAACGCAGCCUUAGUCUUGAAUUUAAACGA